GCGCAUCUGGUGUAGUGGUAUC
rnacentral:siRNA from 1 species